UGCGUUGGGUGUGACACCUCAUCCAGUGUCUACUGCGCGGGCUUUUUUCUGCUUCCGCGUUUGCUGUCUCUCAAUUGGUUAAGUCCAGCACGGGCGACCCUUCCCAGAGUGCCGAAAUGCCAGUUAAAAGAUCACUGAAACUACAUGAGCAGUUUGAAGAAAAUUCAUUGGGUCCUUCAAAAGUCACAAGGAAGAAAAGUGUUACAGCUUAUUCUCCAACUACUGGAACUUGUCAGUUGAGCCCAUUUUCUUCUCCCACAACCCCCAAAGAGCAGGAGCGCAGAAACAGACCGUCGAAUGGUUAGUUGAACAUUUUUUUCCACUUAUGGUAAGAUGUUCCUACUUAUUGGUUAAAUCAAGAUUUUGAUUUAGUAAUAUAUAGCUCUUGUUGGAGCUGGGUUUUCUCUCUUCUCAAGGAAUUUAACAUAGAAAAGGCUAGAAUGUAAAUGUUACUUUGGACAUAAAUGUAAACUUCACAGGCACUUAUUUUAAAAUGCUACUGCUGUUCCCUUCCUAUCCCAUUCAUUAAAUAGAAAUUAUGGCCUGACUGCCUUCAGCUAGUAUCAAUUAUAAUGGUUACAGAUAUGCCCUUAACAAGCUAUCCAUCAUGUGCAUAAAUUAAAGGGCACAUAACUCAGGUAUUGCCACACUGCAAUUUAAGAGGGAUGCUUCUAAAUGUUAUUUUUAUCCAUAUCUUGUCCAUUUAGCUUUACCCACAUUUAGUAUAGGUUUA